UAGCUACAGGCUUAACACAUGCAAGUCGAGGGGCAGCGGGAUUGAAGCUUGCUUCAAUUGCCGGCGACCGGCGCACGGGUGAGUAACGCGUAUCCAACCUUCCGUACACUCAGGGAUAGCCUUUCGAAAGAAAGAUUAAUACCUGAUGGUAUGAUGAGAUUGCAUGAUAGCAUCAUUAAAGAUUUAUCGGUGUACGAUGGGGAUGCGUUCCAUUAGGUAGUAGGCGGGGUAACGGCCCACCUAGCCUACGAUGGAUAGGGGUUCUGAGAGGAAAGGUCCCCCACAUUGGAACUGAGACACGGUCCAAACUCCUACGGGAGGCAGCAGUGAGGAUAUUGUCAUGGACGAGAGUCUGACCAGCCAGUAGCGUGAGGAUGAGGUCCUACGGAUUGUAACUUCUUUUAUAAGGGAAUAAAACCUCCCAC
rnacentral:rRNA from 2 species